UUCUCUGCACUGCAGAGCCCACACACAGCCCAAACCCCGCAGGAGCUGCCUGACCCCUGCUCAGGUGACUGCCGGCAUGCAGCGGCCGUGUGGGGAGCCUGUAGCCCAGGCGGGUCACGCAACCGCGGUUCCUGUAACCACUGCCAGAAGCAUUGCGCAUUCAGUGGCGGAUCGAGCACCUUGUCAGACAGAAAGGUGCCUGCGCUAGGCGCCUUUCUAGUUCUGUGCUCGUAGCGGCUGGGUCGGGUCCCAGCCCCCAGGAGAUGGCCAGCAGACUGUUCCUUUACUUUUAAAACUGUUUGGUAUAGCUGCUGCAAAUUCCAUCUUUUGAAACUCCUGCUGCCGCUCCGCCAUCGCCAUUCCGUGCACAGCCGCUGCCACUGUUGGGUGUAUUACCUCAUUUGUUGUGAUCCCGACAGCUCUGCCCAGGACUCAUGGGCAGGGGGUUGCCUGGCUUAGUGUUUGAUUCCCAGGAGCCGGUUCAGGGAGCUGAGUCAGCUCGCACCAGACCUGUUUUGGCACUACACCUGCGACAGCUACUGGCAAAACAUUGAUACUUCAUCCAAAAAUCAUCCAACGAACCAGCCAUUUGCUCAACCCGGUCAAUUACAUCUGGAACAGCUGAACACUUAGGACAAUCUCUUGAGGAUCUUACUUGAGACACCCCAUUUGGAAGUUUGUCUUCCUGGUACAAAAUGGCCUGCUGGGCAAAGAACUGCCCAUGCCUCAACUGCUGAUGUAUGCGCCGAGAUCCUGAACGGAGGUUGGCUCAUCUGCAACCUCCCACUUUCCAUCUGCCUGGCCGCUGGACCUCUCAGCACAACACUGGCUGCUUCGAUUGGACACAAGGAAAAGCGACUGCUGAACCUUGCCAAGACAAGCCUUGCCAAGACAAGGUUUUGUUUUUGCCCAGGAUCGUGGUGAUGUAUGGAUGCAGAGGCUUGGAAGGUGUGGGUCUUUGCACUCCACAGACUGCUACAGGUGCCUGUGAAAUUCUUAAAAACACAGCUUGGCCUGCUCCAGGCUGGCUGCAGUGGGGUCCUGACCAUGGA